rnacentral:hammerhead_ribozyme from 1 species
AUUCAGUUGACGAGUCCCAAAUAGGACGAAACGCACAUCAAACUGGAU